GCCUAAUUACUGCCARGUCGAGCGGACAGAUGGGAGCUUGCUCCCUGAUGUUAGCGGCGGACGGGUGAGUAACACGUGGGUAACCUGCCUGUAAGACUGGGAUAACUCCSGKAAACCGGGGCUAAUACCGGAUGGUUGUCUGAACCGCAUGGUUCAGACAUAAAAGGUGGCUUCGGCUACCACUUACAKAUGGACCCGCGGCGCAUUAGCUAGUUGGUGRGGUAACGGCUCACCAAGGCGACGAUGCGUAGCCGACCUGAKAGGGUGAUCGGCCACACUGGGACUGAKACACGGCCCAGACUCCUACGGGAGGCAGCAGUAGGGAAUCUUCCGCAAUGGACGAAAGUCUGACGGAGCWACGCCGCGUGAGUGAUGAAGGUUUUCGGAUCGUAAAGCUCUGUUGUUAGGGAAGAACAAGUGCCGUUCAAAUAUGGCGGCACCUUGACGGUACCUAACCAGAAAGCCACGGCUAACUACGUGCCAGCMGCCGCGGUAAUACYUAGGUGGCWAGCGUUGUCCGGAAUUAUUGGGCGUAAAGGGCUCGC
rnacentral:rRNA from 1 species